rnacentral:misc_RNA from 1 species
AACAUCGCGCACCUGCGGGAACCUGCGGAAGGAUCAUCAUCGAAUUCAUAUCCCCCUCCUCUCCCGGAGGGGGACCCAUGAUAAACCCUUCUGUGCACCGUAACCCGUUCACUUUGGCAGGCUUUGGUGGUGGGCGUGAGCUCGCCUCCAACCUCGCGUUCCUCCCUCCCUAUAAGGGUUGCGUGGCGGCCUGCCGGAGUCCUAUUAAAAAACUCGUUUUCGAACACGUCUGAAAAUUUC